UGUCCAUUCUAAGGACACGUCCGAGCCAUUGGAGCCAUCCUUUCAACUUUUUAAACCAGCUCAACCAAUAAUUCAGUUGCUCCACAUAGUGAAUAUUUUCAGGCUCUUCAAACCAUACAGAGGCUAUAAAAUACAAAAUAAAAGAUAUGGCAAGAACAGAAACAGAGCAAACAAAAGGAGGGGGCAUCUGUUGGAAGAAAGGGAAACAAAGAACAUCUGCAGCCAUCUUUUUUUCUCCUUGUCCCUCAGAGCUAAAAGUGAGAGGGCUUCAACCUGCACCCCCAGCUCAGCAGCAGGAGGAAGUCAUGAGAAGAGCCAUAACUCAGGAACCAUCCCCUCUGACACAAAGCCUCCUGGAAGGUGGUGGGAGAAGAGGGGGAAGGUCAAGAGGAGAGACUAAAAACUGGAAAGCUUUUUUUGAGUUGGUAAUUAACUGUGGCUGCCUUCAUAAAGCAUCUGCUAGACAUGUUUUAUGGGUUGGCUUUACAGUGUCGCCCACCGAUUGAAAGGAGACCUGCUGUCUGGACAUUGUAAUGUAUUCCAGUGCUAAAUCCCUGUUUGGACAAGCUGUCAAUUUGACCUGUCAGCUCUGCACUCCAGAGUCUUUGGGCAGCCAAGAGGCAUUUUGAUCAAAUUUUGGCAAGAUUUCAGAAGAUAUUGCCUGCAGUUUUUAAGUAUAAUCAGGAAAUAUUUUCAAACAAAGGACUAUAUUCUUUAAAAUAAAAAGAUUAAUAAUAUUGAA